AAAUAGCAUAAUAAGCCACCAUAGGACUUGGCCUUACACGCCAACUUACGGCAGUCUCAAACCCCGGUUACCCCCACCCACUUUCUCGACCACUUUCAUUUGUAAGUUGUUCUGGAAAUCAAAAAUCAACUUAGUUAAGCUCUGAUGAUCAGAAUUAUGAUUAUAUUUUUUCAUAUCCCCGCCCCAGCCACUGUAAUAAAAAUUAAUCACAUCUCUCUCAAUCUUUUUUUUGUUUACUCAGCAAUCUCUAUCAAUUUUUUGUUUCAAAUUCACUCCAUUUCUCUCGAAAUAUCCGCCCCUGAUAAUGAUAACGAUGAUGAAUGGAGAUAGCUUAAACCAUGAUGUUGAGAAGAGAUGCAAGACUGAGUUCAAAAAAUUUCUUGCUAGCGCUAAAAGAAACCUCAAAAUCUGCACCGACAGAGUCUCAAACCAUAAGAUGACGAAGAGUUUGUAUAAUUGAAGAGCUAUUUGCAGAGGAUGUGGAUUGAAACCAAAUAUGCUUAAGUAUAUCAAGUCGUCAUCCUGAGCACUGACAACCGUCAUACAGUGGUACAAUUUUUCAGAUCCUUUGAUGAACAGAACUUGGCUGUUUGUACUUUGAUACGUAUAACAGUAGCAAAGAUAGAAUGUUCGCGUGGAUUCAAAUACUUCUGUAGUUCACAAAAAAGUCCAAUGUUUAUCGAAUUCCAGUGUUGAUCACGGUUCAGGUUUUGAAGAUUUUUUGUCCCAUUGCUGGAGCAGUCGCAUUUGCUAACGAGAUAAUUGGCUGUUCAUUAGGAUAUAUAAAACCUCUCAGCGUAGGAGUGCUGCUUAUGCAGUUGCUAAACUAAACUUUACGGGAUUGGAGAUCGAACUGGAUAAAUGGUUAAUGGCAGAGCCACUAAGAUAAGAGAAGGUGGACAUGCGAAAGCAACUGAUUAUAGAUUCUGCACACAAAGUUCAGCCGACCUCAACGUUAAGGAUUAGAGAUAUUUGGAUACACAAAUAUGUAAAUUUAACUUCUGAGAUUCCUUAAAGAUGAUUAUAUCUCAUGAUAAUGCCACAAAGAGAUGUUACCCAGUACGAAUGUCUCAUGUAGAUGUUGCAGUCGCAAAGAGAUGUAACCCAGUGCGAACUAUCAACAAUUCAACCAAAGUUCCCUCCAUGCGUACUGGAAAACCAAGCUAACAACGACCCCCACUUCAUCAAAUUCCGUGUAAUAAUCUUGCCAUCCAUUUUCAUGUCAUCUUCUUUGUUGUCAACCAAUCCUGGUUUUUUUUUACGUAUACAGUGAUCUUUCAUUGUGUUAAGAAUCUAAAUUUUGUAAAAAUUAGUGCAGUGCUUUCAGCUUGUGACAAGAUCAG